GACGAACGCUGGCGGCGUGCCUAAUACAUGCAAGUAGAACGCUGAAGGAGGAGCUUGCUUCUCUGGAUGAGUUGCGAACGGGUGAGUAACGCGUAGGUAACCUGCCUGGUAGCGGGGGAUAACUAUUGGAAACGAUAGCUAAUACCGCAUAAGAGUAGAUGUUGCAUGACAUUUGCUUAAAAGGUGCAAUUGCCUCACUACCAGAUGGACCUGCGUUGUAUUAGCUAGUUGGUGGGGUAACGGCCCACCAAGGCGACGAUACAUAGCCGACCUGAGAGGGUGGUCGGCCACACUGGGAAUGGGACACGGCCCAAACUCCUACGGGAGGCAGCAGUAGGGAAACUUUGGCAAUGGACGGAAGUCUGACCGAGCAACGCCGCGGGAGGGAAGAAGGGUUUCGGAUCGGAAAGCUCUGUUGUAAGAGAAGAACGAGUGUGAGAGUGGAAAGUUCACACUGUGACGGUAUCUUACCAGAAAGGGACGGCUAACUACGUG
rnacentral:rRNA from 1 species